rnacentral:rRNA from 1 species
UACGAAGGGGGCUAGCGUUGCUCGGAAUCACUGGGCGUAAAGGGUGCGUAGGCGGGUCUUUUAAGUCAGGGGUGAAAUCCUGGAGCUCAACUCCAGAACUGCCUUUGAUACUGAGGAUCUUGAGUAUGGGAGAGGUGAGUGGAACUGCGAGUGUAGAGGUGAAAUUCGUAGAUAUUCGCAAGAACACCAGUGGCGAAGGCGGCUCACUGGACCGUAACUGACGCUGAGGCACGAAAGCGUGGGUAGCAAACAGGG